rnacentral:rRNA from 1 species
ACGUAGGGCGCAAGCGUUGUCCGGAAUUAUUGGGCGUAAAGAGCUCGUGGCGGUUUGUCGCGUCUGCUGUGAAAGCCCGGGGCUCAACCCCGGGUCUGCAGUGGGUACGGGCAGACUAGAGUGCGUAGGGAGACUGGAAUUCUGGUGUAGCGGUGAAAUGCGCAGAUAUCAGGAGGAACACCGAUGGCGAAGGCAGGUCUCUGGGCUGUUACUGACGCUGAGGAGCGAAAGCAUGGGGAGCGAACAGGAUUAGAUACCCGGUGUAGUCC